UACAGAAAUAGGCCAGGGAAUGGUAUUGACU
rnacentral:piRNA from 1 species